rnacentral:rRNA from 1 species
ACGCUCGACACCUACGAGAGGCAGCAGUGGGGAAUAUUGGGCAAUGGGCGCAAGCCUGACCCAGCAACGCCGCGUGAAGGAAGAAGGCCCUCGGGUUGUAAACUUCUUUUAACAGGGACGAAGUAAGUGACGGUACCUGUUGAAUAAGCCACGGCUAACUACGUGCCAGCAGCCGCGGUAAUCUGAGCGGGCUGGCAAGGC